UCUAAGUUUGAUGGCGACCGGCGCACGGGUGAGUAACACGUAUCCAACCUGCCGAUGACUCGGGGAUAGCCUUUCGAAAGAAAGAUUAAUACCCGAUAGCAUAAUGAUUCCGCAUGGUUUCAUUAUUAAAGGAUUCCGGUAAAGGAUGGGGAUGCGUUCCAUUAGGUUGUUGGCGGGGUAACGGCCCACCAAGCCUUCGAUGGAUAGGGGUUCUGAGAGGAAGGUCCCCCACAUUGGAACUGAGACACGGUCCAAACUCCUACGGGAGGCAGCAUG
rnacentral:rRNA from 1 species